GGCGCUAUCGUCUAAUGGUUAGGACACCACGCUUUCAAUGUGGGAAUCCGGGUUCGAUUCCCGGUAGCGCUACCA
rnacentral:tRNA from 1 species